rnacentral:rRNA from 1 species
UACGUAGGGGGCAAGCGUUGUCCGGAUUUAUUGGGCGUAAAGAGCGUGUAGGCGGUUUGGUAGGUCCGCUGUGAAAACUCGAGGCUCAACCUCGAGACGCCGGUGGAAACCAUCAGACUAGAGUCCGGAAGAGGAGAGCGGAAUUCCCGGUGUAGCGGUGAAAUGCGCAGAUAUCAGGAAGAACACCCGUGGCUAAGGCGGCUCUCUAGUACGGUACUGACGCUGAGACGCGAAAGCGUGGGGAGCGAACAGG